CCUACGGGUGGCUCCAGGCGAGAAAACUUUGCAAUGUGCGAAAGCACGACAAGGUUAAUCCGAGUGGUUUCUGCUAAAGAAACCUUUUGUCAGUCCUAGAAACACUGGUGAAUAAGGGGUGGGCAAGUUCUGGUGUCAGCCGCCGCGGUAAAACCAGCACCUCAAGUGGUCAGGAUGAUUAUUGGGCCUAAAGCAUCCGUAGCCGGCUAUGUAAGUUUUCGGUUAAAUCUGUGCGCUUAACGUACAGGCUGCCGGGAAUACUGCACAGCUAGGAAGUGGGAGAGGUAGACGGUACUCGGUAGGAAGGGGUAAAAUCCUUUGAUCUAUUGAUGACCACCUGUGGCGAAGGCGGUCUACCAGAACACGUUCGACGGUGAGGGAUGAAAGCUGGGGGAGCAAACCGGAUUAGAUACCCGGGUAGUC
rnacentral:rRNA from 1 species